GACGUAGGAGGCGAGCGUUAUCCGGAUUCACUGGGCGUAGAGCGCAUGUAGGCGGUUGGACAAGUCGUGUGUUAAAGCCCCUGGUUCAACUGGGGGAGGUCAUGCGAGACUGUGCGACUUGAGGGCAAGAGAGGCACGUGGAACUCCCGGUGUAGCGGUGGAAUGCGUAGAGAUCGGGAAGAACAUCGGUGGCGAAGGCGGCCUGCUGGGCUGUUGCUGACGCUGAGGCGCGACAGCGUGGGGAGCAAACAGG
rnacentral:rRNA from 1 species